ACGAAUUAUAUCAAGAAAAUCUACACCGGUUGAUCAAAAUCAGUUUAACAAUAUGGCUCUAGUUUAAUUCAACUACGGACAUCACGCAGACAUUUUGAAAAUAAUGUACAAACCAAUAAAAAAAUUAACUCUGGCAUCCUUCAUUAGUGGAAUUCUUUUGAAAGUAGCCGUAUGAGUAGCUGUGCGAGUUGCGUGAUGUUUCGAGUUUAAAAUUUGGUUUCAUUUGAGUGCAAUCGAUGGAUAAACAUUGAUAGCAACCAGGAUAACAGAAGGAAAUGAAAUGAGCGGCAUGAUUCUGUUGUAAUGGAUACUAACUCAAACAGUGGAUAGGUCGACUAAGAGUCAUAGAAGAAGAUAUAAAGGACGGAAAACUAAGUCAGCGAAGGGCCACUGAGGAGGGAGGAAAAAAAGUUCUCGGUGACCAAAACAAUAUGGGAUUAAAAUAACAAUAGUAAUAUCGUUUUUUGACCCAAAAUACCCCCACUGACGAUUUAUCGCCUGGGAGGAAAAAGCCACGUGGCCAUAUAGGGGGG